rnacentral:rRNA from 1 species
UACGUAGGGGGCAAGCGUUGUCCGGAAUCAUUGGGCGUAAAGAGCGUGUAGGUGGCUCGGUAAGUCCGCUGUGAAAGUCCAGGGCUCAACCCUGGAAAGCCGGUGGAAACUGUCGAGCUCGAGUCCGGAAGAGGCGAGUGGAAUUCCUGGUGUAGCGGUGAAAUGCGCAGAUAUCAGGUGGAACACCAAUGGCGAAGGCAGCUCGCUGGGACGGUACUGACACUGAGACGCGAAAGCGUGGGGAGCAAACAGG